GAUUAACGCUAGCGGCAGGCCUAAUACAUGCAAGUUGUACGGGAUUAUUGGUAGCAAUACUGAUAUGAGAGUAGCGCACGGGUGCGUAACACGUAUGCAACCUACCUUUAACUGGGGAAUAGCCUUCCGAAAGGAAGAUUAAUACCGCAUAACAUUGCGAAACGACACCGUCUUGCAAUUAAACCUACGGGGGUUAGAGAUGGGCAUGCGUCCGAUUAGCUAGUUGGC
rnacentral:rRNA from 1 species